rnacentral:rRNA from 1 species
UACGUAGGGCGCAAGCGUUGUCCGGAAUUAUUGGGCGUAAAGAGCUCGUAGGCGGUUUGUCGCGUCUGCUGUGAAAAACCCGGGGCUCAACCCCGGGCCUGCAUUCGAUACGGGCAGACUAGAGUUCGGUAGGGGAGUCUGGAAUUCCUGGUGUAGCGGUGAAAUGCGCAGAUAUCAGGAGGAACACCGGUGGCGAAGGCGGGACUCUGGGCCGAUACUGACGCUGAGGAGCGAAAGCGUGGGGAGCAAACAGG